CAUACCAGCCUCUCUUCUCCUUACCUGUUCGUUUUCAAAAUACCAGCCUUGGGAAAGAAACUCACGCCUGCUCGCCCUCCCUCCCAGAGUGGUGUUUUGGAGAAAGUGAGACGACCCCAUAGUCUCUACUUCGCCCCCGCUUCUCCGGCGCUCUUCAGCUGCAUGGACGCCCCAAGCGACGCUGGGAGCCGAAGAAACCGGUUUUUAAGCCCAGGGAUCAAUGUGCUGGAAAGAGAAAUAAAAACAGCCCAAUUUGAAAUCAAGCUGUACUAGACAAAGAAGCUGAUUAAUGAUGGAAGAGAUUUAUGGGGAUUUCAAUCAGGGAGGGUUAUGGGUGUAACACAUGAAGAUGACUUGACUUGGUGGUUAUGGAUAAUCUUGUUCCAUGUCCAGUUUUCACACAUAUGGAAUAAAUGGAAUCCACCCCUA